rnacentral:rRNA from 1 species
GAUGAACGCUGGCGGCGUGCCUAACACAUGCAAGUCGAGCGAUUUACUUCGGUAAAGAGCGGCGGACGGGUGAGUAACGCGUGGGUAACCUGCCCUGUACACACGGAUAACAUACCGAAAGGUAUGCUAAUACGGGAUAAUGUGCUUUUGUCGCAUGGCAAAAGUAUCAAAGCUCCGGCGGUACAGGAUGGACCCGCGUCUGAUUAGCUAGUUGGUAAGGUAACGGCUUACCAAGGCGACGAUCAGUAGCCGACCUGAGAGGGGGAUCGGCCACAUUGGAACUGAGACACGGUCCAAACUCCUACGGGAGGCAGCAGUGGGGAAUAUUGCACAAUGGGCGAAAGCCUGAUGCAGCAACGCCGCGUGAGCGAUGAAGGCCUUCGGGUCGUAAAGCUCUGUCCUCAAGGAAGAUAAUGACGGUACUUGAGGAGGAAGCCCCGGCUAACUACGUGCCAGCCGCCGCGGUAAGAC